CAACUACUCCCUCUGUAACAAAUUUCUUGUCUUAGAUUUGUCUAGAUACGGAUGUAUCUAAUACUAAAAUGUGACUUGAUACAUCCGUAUCUAGACAAAUCUAAGACAAGAAUUUUGGGACGGAGGGAGUACUUU
rfam:Triticum aestivum genome assembly, contig: Triticum_aestivum_CS42_TGACv1_scaffold_170498_2DL